ACGAACGCUGGCGGCAUGCCUAACACAUGCAAGUCGAACGAGACCUUCGGGUCUAGUGGCGCACGGGUGCGUCACGCGUGGGAAUCUACCCUCAGGUUCGGAAUAACUCAGAGAAAUUUGAGCUAAUACCGGAUGAUGACGUAAGUCCAAAGAUUUAUCGCCUGAGGAUGAGCCCGCUUAGGAUUAGGUAGUUGGUGAGGUAAAGGCUCACCAAGCCGACGAUCCUUAGCUGGUCUGAGAGGAUGAUCAGCCACACUGGGACUGAGACACGGCCCAGACUCCUACGGGAGGCAGCAGUGGGGAAUAUUGGACAAUGGGCGAAAGCCUGAUCCAGCAAUGCCGCGUGAGUGAUGAAGGCCUUAGGGUUGUAAAGCUCUUUUACCCGGGAUGAUAAUGACAGUACCGGGAGAAUAAGCUCCGGCUAACUCCGUG
rnacentral:rRNA from 1 species